CGUAGUCUCGCACAGAUGCAUAUCAAUAAGCGGAGGAAAAGAAACUAACAAGGAUUCCCCUAGUAACGGCGAGUGAAGCGGGAAGAGCUCAAAUUUGAAAUCUUAAAGGGUUUCCCUUUACGAAUUGUAGUUUAAAGAAGUGUUUUCUGUUGAGGUUUUGGUAAAAGUUCUUUGGAAUAGGACAUCAUAGAGGGUGAGAAUCCCGUAUUUGACCUUUACUUUCAACUUUGUGAUACACUUUCAAAGAGUCGGAUUGUUUGGGAAUGCAGUCCAAAAUGGGUGGUAAAUUUCAUCUAAAGCUAAAUAUUGGCGAGAUGACCGAUAGCGAACAAGCUACCGUGAGGGAAAGAUGAAAAGAACUUUGAAAAGAGAGUUAAACAGUACGUGAAAUUGUCAAAAGGGAAGCGUUUGACACCAGUGUUGUUUUUCUGAAAAUCAAUUAAAGAACUGUUUAUGCUAAGCUGUUUAGACUUUAUCAGCUAACUGUUUAGUUUUGAGCUUUUCUUUAAUGCACUUUUCAGUUAACAAGUCAACAUCAAUUUCUUUUGCUGUAAAAAAGCUUGAGGAAGGUGGCUUGAGAUUCGUCUUAAGUGUUUAUAGCCUCUUGCCUAUGCAGUCGGAGAGAUUGAGGUCUGCAGCGUAGAUCCUUCGGGGCUAAAUGCAUUUGUGCUAAGUUAUAGCAUUUUAUAGACAACUUGUUGACUAUGAUUUGUCUUGUAGCUUACUCGCUUAUGUUAUUUUACCUACGCUUAGGAUGUUGACGCAUGAGAUAUACGC
rnacentral:rRNA from 1 species